rnacentral:misc_RNA from 1 species
CAAGAGUAUUUCAGUUUGGCUUUAUGCCCUCUGAAAAUCUCCACCCUUUGUUUACAGUUACCUUGUUGUUGCCUCGGUGGUGCUUUAUAGCACCUGCCGGCAGACACCUUCAAAACCCUUGAUUUAAUACUAUAGUCAGAGCUGUAACAAGCAAAAGAUUAAUAAAUCA